rnacentral:lncRNA from 1 species
CUGAACUGCACCAGGUUGGACCAAACCACGCUGAACUGCACCAGGUUGAACCAAACCACGCUGAUCCACUCCAGGUUGGACCAAACCACGCUGAACUGCACCAGGUUGCACCAAACCACGCUGAACUAUACCAGGUUGCACCAAACUACGCUGAACUUCACCAGGUUGUGCCAAACCAUGCUGAUCCACUCCAGGUUGGAC